GCCUGGGUGGCUUAGUCGGUUAAGCGUCUGACUUCGGAUCAGGUCAUAAUCUCACGGUUCAUGAGUUCAAGCCCCGCAUCAGGCU
rnacentral:tRNA from 1 species